AUUGAACGCUGGCGGCGUGCCUAACACAUGCAAGUCGAACGAUGAUGGAUGAGCUUGCUCAUCCUGAUUAGUGGCGCACGGGUGAGUAUACCAUAGAUAAUGUACCCCUUAGUUCGGGAUAGCCACUGGAAACGGUGAUUAAUACCGGAUACUCCUUCUUGCCAUAAGGUAAGUCGGGAAAGUUUUUUCGCUAAGGGAUCAGUCUAUGUCCUAUCAGGUAGUUGGUGAGGUAACGGCUCACCAAGCCUAUGACGGGUAUCUGGUUUGAGAGGAUGAUCAGACAAACUGGAACUGGGACACGGUCCAGACUCCUACGGGAGGCAGCAGUGAGGAAUAUUGCACAAUGGAGGAAACUCUGAUGCAGCAACGCCGCGUGGAGGAUGACGCAUUUCGGUGUGUAAACUCCUUUUAAGAGGGAAGAUUAUGACGGUACCUCUUGAAUAAGCACCGGCUAACUCCGUGCCAGCCGCCGCCGUAA
rnacentral:rRNA from 1 species